rnacentral:rRNA from 1 species
ACUCCUACGGGAGGCAGCAGUGGGGAAUAUUGCACAAUGGGGGAAACCCUGAUGCAGCCAUGCCGCGUGUGUGAAGAAGGCCUUCGGGUUGUAAAGCACUUUCAGUAGGGAGGAAGGUAGUGUAGUUAACACCUGCACUAUUUGACGUUACCUACAGAAGAAGCACCGGCUAACUCCGUGCCAGCAGCCGCGGUAAUACGGAGGGUGCGAGCGUUAAUCGGAAUUACUGGGCGUAAAGCGCAUGCAGGCGGCCUGUUAAGUCAGAUGUGAAAGCCCGGGGCUUAACCUCGGAAUUGCAUUUGAAACUGGCAGGCUAGAGUCUUGUAGAGGGGGGUAGAAUUUCAGGUGUAGCGGUGAAAUGCGUAGAGAUCUGAAGGAUACCAGUGGCGAAGGCGGCCCCCUGGACAAAGACUGACGCUCAGAUGCGAAAGCGUGGGGAGCAAACAGGAUUAGAUACCCUGGUA